CCUACGGGAGGCAGCAGUGGGGGAUAUUGCACAAUGGGGGGAACCCUGAUGCAGCGACGCCGCGUGGGUGAAGAAGCGCCUCGGCGCGUAAAGCGCUGUCAGCAGGGAAGAAAAUGACGGUACCUGAAGAAGAAGCCCUUGCUAACUACGUGCCAGCAGCCGCGGUAAUACGUAGGGGGCAAGCGUUAUCCGGAUUUACUGGGGGUAAAGGGGGCGCAGGCGGCGAUGCAAGCCAGGAGUGAAAGCCCGGGGCCCAACCCCGGGAUUGCACUUGGAACUGCGUGGCUGGAGGGCAGGUGGGGCAGGCGGAAUUCCUGGUGUAGCGGUGAAAUGCGUAGAUAUGAGGAGGAACACCGGUGGCGAAGGCGGCCUGCUGGACUGCAACUGACGUUGAGGCCCGAAAGCGUGGGGAGCAAACAGGAUUAGAUACCCCAGUAGUC
rnacentral:rRNA from 1 species